rnacentral:lncRNA from 10 species
CGCGCAGCUCUCGCGGAGAGGGGCGCUCGAGGCGGUUUGAGGGGACCCGGAGGCUCUUACAAACUGGCAGUUCAUUGAGAAAAGGCAGCUUUUAGUCACAGCCCCUCUCGCUAAGACAGAGAUGCCGCCAAACUGAAGUCCGGAGGAGAAAGGAUAGGGGCUACGGGCUGCAGCAGGGUCCAAGCCACGCCGUUAGGCUGCGGAACCGGGUUGGGAAUGCCCUUAGCGGAGUGUGUACCCGCGCCCGCGGCGGUGUCUCAGAGGCAGCUCCAGUGGCCUGUACUAUAUGCGGGGAUGUGACCGAAGGAAAUGGGAAAGUAAGGGAGCGGGAGUGGAAAUGGCUGAGCCAGAAAGCACUUGGGAAAAGAGGAAAGCGCCCUGAACUGGGGAUUGGAGGCCUGACUCCUGAGGUCCGCGGAGCCCCCGGCCUCCUCCUUGAGGGACUUGGACACUAGAGCACCGCCACUGUCCCUUCCAUAUAGGAAGCCCUAAGUGUUUGAAAGUAGGAACAUGUAUUUUAAGGCCGGGCGCGGUGGCUCACGCCUGUAACUCCAGCACUUUGGGAAGCCAAGGCAGGCUGAUCACUUGAGGUCAGGAGUUCGAGACCAGCCUGAACAACAAUGGUGAAAUUCCGUUUCUAUUAAAAACACAUAAAUUAGCCGGAUGUAGUGGUGCACGCCUGUAAUCCCAGCAGCUACUCGAGAGGCUGAGGCAGGAGAAUCAUGAACCCAGGAGGCGAAGGUUGCAGUGAGCUGAGAUCAAGCCACUGCACUCCAGCCUGGGCGACAGAGUGAACAGUCUCAAAAAAAAAAAAAAAGCAUAUCUUUUUUUUAAAAUAAAAUUAUGACUCUCACACAAAUAUAAAAUGAACAUAUGUCAAAGAUACCAUUUAACUCAUUAAUGAUGGUAUAUAUACAAUGCUCCACUAGAGCUCUAGAUAGCUUAAAGACAAAAGUAAGACCCCAUAAGACGAGAUAACCCAGAAGGGUAUGCCAGACAAUACCUACUUGUUCAAUGAAGACACCUAAAGAAAACCAGAAUAAGGCCAGGUGUGGUGGCUCACAUCUGUAAUCCCAG